CGCGGCCAGACUCGGCGCACUAGUGACUAGAUAUAUUUGCGGUGUCGGAACGGUCGUAAAGUCGAUAACAGUCGUAAGUUGACGGUUAACUGUAGUAUUUUAACGGUGCGGCAUUUUCCACGCUACAUCGCUAUUUGUUAAAAAAAAAGUUAGUUACUGGAAAAACUACUGCGUUCUAAAAGUAGCUGCACUACUUAUAAACUACUGAAAAAAGUUAUUAAGGUAGUAGCGUCUCUAAUUGUAGUUAACUAUUUCUCAACACUGGUCAUUUGCCAUUUUAAGGAAUCUGUGGACACUGUUCCAGCUUGAGUCCGAUAGCAGCUCCAGUCUUUUACAGUUGCUGAGACCAUGAUACCCCUGGGACGAGUUACAAGAUGAGGGUUAUAGGGGUCCGGACUCCAUCCCAGGUAUUGAGGUCGAAAGGCACAGAACAACCCUGGAUGGGGCGCCAACACCAUUCAUGCGGCUCUGGGCCAUGGGGUCAAGCCAAAAAACCCACAGGAACCUCAGAACAGCACGGAGAGAAUGUACAGAAAAAAAACUUGCACACGCGGAGGGCAAACGCAAACCCUAGUCCCAGUGGUGUCACAACAGUGCUAACCUCUGUACCACCGUACCAUCUUCUAGCUUUCAUAUAAUAAGUUAUAGAAAAUUUAUUUUACAAAUAUGCUGGAAAAAAAACACAUCGGUCCAAUGUGACAGAAGAAAGUAAAUAGCUUCUCUUUCUAAUGGAAUAAAGUGCGAUAACACAUGUAGCUGUGUUGACUUUUCCGGAUUUGCAAUUAUCUUCAUUUUACUUUUACUGAUGUGGAAAAAUAUGCUUGAUAAUUUAUUCUUGUGACUUCAACCUGCUUCUGGUCCGGAAGACAUCACUUAAAUGAAGAUAUACGUACAAUAACUAUUGCGCCUGUGGCCUCUGGGAUAGGCUCUGGACCAUGGGCGUCGCUAGACCCCUGUUACUGGGGAAUGUGGCCCAGUAUUUAUGUUCUGAGCCCCAGUAAAAUCUUAUUCAGCUUUCAAAAAUCAUAUGGAUAAUGGGGGCGGGGGGCCUGUGCCCCAGUACAGCUCUAUGUUUAGCAAGGCCCCUAUUCCGGACCCCUUGCGACCCUUAAUAGGAGGAGCGGUUUCAGAAGAUGAAUGGAUGGAUGGAUGGAAUAACCACCUUCUCCAGAGAGUCAGAAAUGGCCUGUCAUCUACAUUAAGGGUCAGUCACUGUGGUCUUGGGAGCUGAAGGAUUUUCUCAUUUUCAUUCCAGCUGAGUUUUUAAUUAAUUAUUCCUAAUUGAGGCAUUGAUUAUAUCCAUCAAACUAUUCAAAUCAUGUUAAAUAAAAAUGUAUGCUUAAUGACAUGCUAUUAUUUUGUAAUUGUGUUUAACCAAAUUCAUGUUAGAACUGGAGAAAAUAGAAGUAGAUUUUAUGAAUGUUUUUUUGCUCAUUAAAAUGAAUACUACAGCGUUCAAAAUUUUAAUUGAAUCAAUGAUUACUUAGCCCUUGAGCGACUUAGUAAGUAAUGCCCUUAUUAUGCUAAAUUAAGUUCAUUACUAUUUUAUACUAUUUUAUUUUGUUUAAGUUCCAGAAAUGAACAGAUAAAAGGAAUAGAUUUUAUUGGCAUGAAUACACUUGUAACUGUUAAUUAUUUAUUUUGGUUGAAUUCCACUGAAACCCAUUUAAAACCUAUAUAAUAUAAACUGUAUGACAGGAUUCAGUCAACAUUCAAAGCAAUUUACUUGGGAGCCUACUGAGGCAAAAACAGUACAUAGCAUCUCCAGUACCAGGGUUGGCGACAUCUGGUCCAUACGCUCUACAUCAGCAAUGAAGCACCAAACUGCCUGUUCAUGCCAUCAGUAUGCUGUCUCCAUUCGGUCAUGAAGAGAUCUUCCCCAUAUGUUUAUCUAUGAAUGAUGUGCUCUAUUGCCUUGAUAUUUGAUAUGUGACAUGCUUUGUUUUUUUGCCCUGCAUAGUGUCAUUUCUGCUUGUGCCGCUUCCAGUGACGUGUUGCGAGGCCUUUGGCUCUGACGCAGUCAGACUGAAUAGUCAUUGAAGAGUCUUCCUUUAGCAGCUGAGAUUAAAGGGCAAUCACAAUGUCAGCUUUCUGAGCUCUCAUCCACACUCAACCACUCCCAGUGUCUUCGUGGGCUCUGUCUCCCUUGUUAAUGUCCCCAUGGUUGGCCCUUAGUUAGACUGGUCUACAAAGUCAUGAGAUUUUUCAAAUAGAUUUUUAAAGUCCAUUUUCUCACAGUUCCAGAAUGUCUUUGUCAGUAUUCUGACCAAUAUUUGUUUCCACCUUGAACAUGCUUGUGCUCUGAGCCUAAUGACACAUCAUUGUUUCAGAUGUGCAAGAUGCCAUAAUGACAUCUGGCCACUAUGGCAAAGGUUGGUUCGACUGAAUAUUAAAAUUGAGCUAGUCUCUGGUUUUCACACUGUUAAGGUACCCUAUGAUUUUUGUUAAAAUUGUGAAAAAGCCUUUGUCAUUAUCAUUUCAGUUUUUGUUUUAUUAAUUUUACUUUUACAUAGAAAUAUAUAUGCAUGUGUACAUAAGUUAAAAUGCUGUAUAAAUGAAUAACAUUGAUGCAGAAUGGGAAAUUAUCCUUUUUUUUUUUAGUAAAAUUGCAUGUCACAGUGAA